rnacentral:lncRNA from 1 species
ACUAUCCAUGGCUACGUACGUUCAAGUUAAGUUAUUGUGGAAAAUUCUACAAAACAACUUUUCUUCUCCCUCUUCUUCAAUCCCUUCAAAUCUGAUAUUUCAAUAUUUGUCUUUGAUGCGUUACUAGAUUGUUUCAUAUAAUUCUCACCCAUGAAUAUUUUUACCAUUCAAACGUUCAUCCUAAUCAUAUGUUAAGUUUAGUUUCUGUCAAAUAUUUGAAAUUUACCCUUGAGAAACCAAAAACAAAAAAACAAAAGAAACACUUGGAAGAGAAUGAAAGCUCUCUAUUGGUCUUGUCAGAAGGUAACAAAAACAAACUAUAGUAUGGAACUACCAAAAAAAAAAUUAAAAAAAAAAAAAAACUCCUAUCAUGGACCUGGGCUUAAGGCUUUUAGGCCUCAUAACACCUUUUAGUGAAUUUGUGUCAUCGUGGACUUUUAUGUUCCAAAUGAUGUUGGGCUUCAUUGAUUUUUUUUUUCUUUUUUGUCGGCAGGCUUCCUUCAUUAUUUUCCUCUAUAUUACUGGCGAGGAAGAAAAACUAUAUAUAAAUAUAUUUAGUUAAUGAGAGUAUGUGAUAUUCUGAUGGCAGUCAGUAAGAGAAUACUUUUAAAACAAAGUUGUGAUUAAA